rnacentral:lncRNA from 10 species
CAUCUGAACCAUCAGUCACUCUCUGGCCCAGAGAGGUGGUGUUAUUUGCCAAGGACACACAGCAGGUGGCCAAGAUGGAGCCAAGCCAUUUUCCCCACUGCAGGGCUCUUUCCUGGCUGUCAGCUCCGAGUCCAGCCUCUCCUCGCAUUGCUGCAGACGCUUUCUGAGGAACUCGUUCUCCAUCUGAGCACAGUCGAAGCGCAUCUGCCACUCGUCUGCUGUUUAACGGAGUCAGGGAGACCAGGAUAAGAGGCCAAAUGAGUGUAAGGCAAGAGUGUGAGUGGCUCUCCUCCACUUUCUUGGCUCUUGGCAUGCAAUUUCACAAUAUUCACAGAGCCCUUGAGCCUCAACCUUGGACCAAGAAACUAUGCUUUAACUCUGAGUUUUAAAUAACGCUUCCUCCAGGCAGCCUGUCCUGACCACCUCCAACUGUCUAAAGUUCUUGAGUGCUCACUCUUCUAAGAUUGGUUGCCUUAUACUGUUUAGUUGUCUCUAUAAGUGUAUUCAUAUCUUCCCUUUUCCAAGGAAAUUUCAUAAUCCUUAAGGGCAAGGGAGCUGUUUCAGUCAUCUGUGAGUCCUUCACACCCUCUGGAAGAGUUCCCUACAAGCAGAUUCCCCUACAUGUUGAUACAAGCUCAUGGAUUGCUUAAUGAACCUAAUACAAUAAUCAGAUAAAAAGA